CCAUCGGGAGGCAGCAGUAAGGAAUAUUGGNCAAUGGUGGCAACUCUGAUCCAACCAUGCCGCGUGAAGGAUAACGACCCUAUGGGAUGUAAACUUCUUUUGUAUGGGAAAAAACCUCUUGACGUGUAAAGAGCUGACGGUACCAUAAGAAUAAGCAUCGG
rnacentral:rRNA from 1 species